rnacentral:lncRNA from 1 species
GGGGGGUAGCCAGGUUUUUAUGCUAAUGUUUCAGGUUGGAGGGGGCAAAAAUGCUUCUCUCAGCUCCAUGUGGGUUUGUUAAUGAAGGUAAAUGCUCACAGCUGGGUAGGGAGUGCUGCUGGGGCUCCCUUGGGCCUUCUGGCAGAGGAACAGCUCUGGCACCAAAGUAGCAGGUCUUGUGGCUCUGCAGGGGUUUUGCAAGGUGAUGCCAUGAAAUCCUGUGGGACGCCUUCCAAGCUGAUUAUCCCGUUUACAAAUGACGCCUUCGCUCUUGGCCUGCCUUUACGCCGCUGAGUUCUGACUCCUUUGGCACAGCAAGUGACUCUGACUGACCCUCAUGCGCACAAAAGGGAAACUUCAAAGCUGCAUCCUCAGUGCGCCUUCAUGGGAACUAAUUGUUUUGCUUCGUAGAUAUAUUCAGGGAAACUAUUUGCAAGUUGGUUUGGCGGAGCAGCAGAAACCCACGACGUGGUGCAGCCGGUUGUGGCUGCGCGGGCAGACCUGACCCACAGCGCCUGCAGUGAAUGCACGCAGUCGUGCACCUGAAACGCCGAGAAAAGAUUGAAAGAGCUGCUCUCGUCUCAGAGCUGCAUGUUAUUGGGAUGCGUUUGGGGAGCUGCUCUGGCCUGAGCUCUGUGUCUUUAUUACCCUUCCUCCUGGCUUGAAAAACUUUUGAUGAAUUUGUUGACGUUCUGAUUUGCCCAGGAAGGUAUCAAGCUACAAUCGGGGAGCCCUCCGCUUGCUCAGCUUCUUGCCUUGUCUCCAGUCUUGUUGUGCAGGAUGUCUCAGGCGUUAGGAGGCUGCUGUGCCAACCCAGCACAAUGAAAGGGUUUGGUCAUGUGCUCUGGCACAGGAAGCACACAAGCUGAUGUACCUAUAGGUUCCUAUUGUAUUCCUGUAUUUUAUUGUAUUUUCUAACUGUUCUGAGCUGGAUUUGACUGCAAAAUGGAGUAAUGCUUCCAGGAAGGUUCUGAAAGUCAUAUGCUAGGCAUGCUUGGGUGAGUUCUCUCAACAGUACCAAUGUAAAUCAGAAAACUGAAAUAUCGACAGUUGCCUUGAAGUCAAAAUGGUUAACAGCCCACGUUGUGACUUGGGUCGCUGCUGAAAAUCUGUAUGCAUAUACACAGACACAGUGUGGUGGGAGAAUGGGAUAACUGGUGAACCACGAAGCACAGAUCCAGAUUUGGAUCUAAAUACUUUUGAAGUUCAAGAGUGCUCCCAUCCUGGGAGCUGGUUCAAAGCCUUCCCCACAUUGCAUGUACCUGCACGGGGCGCUCGCUGCCAUACCUGCCUG